GGCCGAGGUGACCUCUGUCUUUGGUGCCCCUUUGUGUCUCGAUGGCCUUUUCUUGUCCUGAGCUCACCCACAAGGGGCCGUCCCUGCCCACACGAGGGCGUGCCCCCCACCCCCCCGUUUGUCUCCAGCUCGACAGGGCCACUGGAGGGCCAGAAGCCAUGUCUCCCAGCAGUAGUUGGGAGUGCAGGGGCACGCGCUGGUGGGCAGUACUCCCGGGAGCUGCUGUUAGGGGUCAGCCCGCAGACACUUAGGCCCCUCCACACCGUGUGUGAGGAGCGCGCACGUGGGGCUCAGACAGAGGAGAUGGGGCCCAGGCUGCAUACACCUCUCAAGCGUCCUGCUUGACACGUGUCUUCCUGGGGAAAGAGAUUGCUCCCUGAUGGCUCCACAUCCAGAGGAGGCUAUCGUCUCACAGCAAAAAAUAAAGGCAAGUGUGAAAACAGC
ensembl:lncRNA